rnacentral:rRNA from 1 species
UACGAAGGGUGCUAGCGUUGUUCAGAAUUACUGGGCGUAAAGCGCGCGCAGGCGGUCUUCCAAGUCAGUGGUGAAAGCCCGGAGCUCAACUCCGGAACUGCCAUUGAAACUGUUGGACUUGAGUACGAGAGAGGUGAGUGGAAUUCCCAGUGUAGAGGUGAAAUUCGUAGAUAUUGGGAAGAACACCGGUGGCGAAGGCGGCUCACUGGCUCGUAACUGACGCUCAGGCGCGACAGCGUGGGGAUCAAACAGG